AACGUAGGAGACAAACGUUAUCCGGAGUUACUGGGCGUAAAGGGCGUGUAGGUGGUUGAGUAAGUCUGGCGUGAAAUUUUUCGGCUUAACCGGGAAAGGUCGUCGGAUACUGCUUAACUAGAGGACGGUAGAGGCGUGUGGAAUUCCGGGUGUAGUGGUGAAAUGCGUAGAGAUCCGGAGGAACACCAGUGGCGAAGGCGGGAUCCUGGGCCAGUACUGACGCUGAGGCACGAAGGCCAGGGGAGCAAACGGG
rnacentral:rRNA from 1 species